UACGAAGGGGGCUAGCGUUGCUCGGAAUCACUGGGCGUAAAGCACACGUAGGCGGGUCGUUAAGUCGGGGGUGAAAUCCUGGAGCUCAACUCCAGAACUGCCUUCGAUACUGGCGAUCUUGAGUCUGGGAGAGGUGAGUGGAACUCCGAGUGUAGAGGUGAAAUUCGUAGAUAUUCGGAAGAACACCAGUGGCGAAGGCGGCUCACUGGCCCGUUACUGACGCUGAGGCACGAAAGCGUGGGGAGCAAACAGG
rnacentral:rRNA from 1 species